UAAUACUUACUCUAUCUCCUCUGUUUUGAAAAAACAGCAUGCCUGAGGGAGUAUUUA
rnacentral:tRNA from 1 species